rnacentral:rRNA from 1 species
CCUACGGGUGGCAGCAGUGAGGAAUAUUGGUCAAUGGCCGGAAGGCUGAACCAGCCAUGCCGCGUGAAGGUCAGUGCCCUAUGGGCGUUAAACUUCUUUUGUGCGGGAGCAAUAAGGUCCACGUGUGGACCGACGAGAGUACCGUACGAAUAAGCAUCGGCUAACUCCGUGCCAGCAGCCGCGGUAAUACGGGGGAUGCAAGCGUUAUCCGGAUUUAUUGGGUUUAAAGGGUGCGUAGGCUGGAAGGUAAGUCAGCGGUGGAAUGCCCCCGCUGAACGGGGUGAAGUGCGAUUGAUACUGGCUGGCGGGAGGGCGGAGGCGGGGGGAGGAAGGUGUGGUGGAGCGGUGAAAGGCAUAGAUA